CCUACGGGUGGCAGCAGUGAGGAAUAUUGGUCAAUGGACGAGAGUCUGAACCAGCCAAGUAGCGUGAAGGAUGACUGCCCUAUGGGUUGUAAACUUCUUUUAUAUGGGAAUAAAAUGUUCCACGUGUGGGAUUUUGUAUGUACCAUAUGAAUAAGGAUCGACUAACUCCGUGCCAGCAGCCGCGGUAAUACGGAGGAUCCGAGCGUUAUCCGGAUUUAUUGGGUGUAAAGGGAGCGUAGGUGGAUUGGUAAGUCAGUUGUGAAAGUUUGCGGCUCAACCGGAAAAUUGCAGUUGAAACUGGCAGUCUUGAGUACAGUAGAGGUGGGCGGAAUUCGUGGUGUAGCGGUGAAAUGCUUAGAUAUCACGAAGAACUCCGAUUGCGAAGGCAGUUCACUGGACUGCAACUGACACUGAGGCUCGAAAGUGUGGGUAUCAAACAGGAUUAGAUACCCUAGUAGUC
rnacentral:rRNA from 1 species